rnacentral:lncRNA from 1 species
UAGAUUCGAAAAAGGUCAAAUCCCAUGUCAUUGUGUAGCUCUCGAAAAGGUCAUUUUGGAAAGGUAUAGCACGCCUCCAUCGGAUUCUCAAAUUGAAAGUUACGAAGGUUCUAGCAGACAUCGCGUUGGUCGGAGUGCACGUACUUCGAGAUAAAUGGACCCAUGAGGCCGGGCCCACCCGGGUCAGCCAUAGGUAGACCCGCGGCUGCCUCAGGUGGACCUGCGGCUGAUUUGUUCUAUAAAUAGACACCCCGUCAGCCAUUAAAAAAAAGAAAAAAAGAGAGG